rnacentral:rRNA from 1 species
UACGAAGGGGGCUAGCGUUGCUUGGAAUCACUGGGCGUAAAGGGUGCGUAGGCGGGUCUUUAAGUCAGGGGUGAAAUCCUGGAGCUCAACUCCAGAACUGCCUUUGAUACUGAAGAUCUUGAGUCCGGGAGAGGUGAGUGGAACUGCGAGUGUAGAGGUGAAAUUCGUAGAUAUUCGCAAGAACACCAGUGGCGAAGGCGGCUCACUGGCCCGGUACUGACGCUGAGGCACGAAAGCGUGGGGAGCAAACAGGG